AAUAGAUACCCGGGUAGUCCACGCCGUAAACGGUGGGCACUAGAUGUGGGGCUCAUUCCAUGAGUUCCGCGUCGCAGCUAACGCAUUAAGUGCCCCGCCUGAGGAGUACGGCCGCAAGGCUAAAACUCAAAGGAAUUGACGGGGGCCCGCACAAGCGGCGGAGCAUGCGGAUUAAUUCGAUGCAACGCGAAGAACCUUACCAAGGCUUGACAUAUACCGUUUAUCCCUAGAGAUAGGGAGUCCUUUGGGGCGGUAUACAGGUGGUGCAUGGUUGUCGUCAGCUCGUGUCGUGAGAUGUUGGGUUAAGUCCCGCAACGAGCGCAACCCUCGUUCUAUGUUGCCAGCACGUAAUGGUGGGGACUCAUAGGAGACUGCCGGGGUCAACUCGGAGGAAGGUGGGGAUGACGUCAAAUCAUCAUGCCCCUUAUGUCUUGGGCUUCACGCAUGCUACAAUGGCCGGUACAAUGGGCUGCGAUACCGUGAGGUGGAGCGAAUCCCAAAAAGCCGGUCUCAGUUCGGAUCGGGGUCUGC
rnacentral:rRNA from 1 species